CCUACGGGAGGCAGCAGUGGGGAAUCUUGCGCAAUGGGCGAAAGCCUGACGCAGCCAUGCCGCGUGAAUGAUGAAGGUCUUAGGAUUGUAAAAUUCUUUCAGUAGGGACGAUAAUGACGGUACCUACAGAAGAAGCCCCGGCUAACUUCGUGCCAGCAGCCGCGGUAAUACGAAGGGGGCUAGCGUUGCUCGGAAUUACUGGGCGUAAAGGGAGCGUAGGCGGGUUAUCAAGUUGGAGGUGAAAGCCCAGGGCUCAACCUUGGAAUUGCCUUCAAAACUGAUAGCCUAGAGUAUGAUAGAGGUAUGUGGAACUCCGAGUGUAGAGGUGAAAUUCGUAGAUAUUCGGAAGAACACCAGUGGCGAAGGCGACAUACUGGGUCAUGACUGACGCUGAGGCUCGAAAGCGUGGGGAGCAAACAGGAUUAGAUACCCUGGUAGUCCACGCUGUAAACGAUGAUUGCUAGUUGUCGGACGGCAUGCGUUCGGUGACGCAGCUACGCAUAAGACACUCCGCCGUGGGUAGGUACGGUCGCGAGAAUUAAACGUUAAAACGGUAAAGUUAGUACGGCGUGAGACGUGCCGACGGACGACGACGAGGGAGGUUAGG
rnacentral:rRNA from 1 species